rnacentral:rRNA from 1 species
UACGGGGGGGGCAAGCGUUGUUCGGAAUUACUGGGCGUAAAGGGGCUGUAGGCGGCCAACUAAGUCCGACGUGAAAUCCCAAGGCUUAACCUUGGAACUGCGUCGGAUACUGGAUGGCUUGAAUUCGGGAGAGGGAUGCAGAAUUCCAGGUGUAGCGGUGAAAUGCGCAGAUAUCAGGAGGAACACCGGUGGCGAAGGCGGGUCUCUGGGCCGAUACUGACGCUGAGGAGCGAAAGCGUGGGGAGCGAACAGG